rnacentral:rRNA from 1 species
CACGGAGUUAGCCGAUCCUUAUUCUUACAGUACCGUCAAUCUUCCACACGUGAAAGUGGUUUCUUCCUGUACAAAAGCAGUUUACAAUCCAUAUGGACCUGUCAUCCUGCACGCUGGCAUGGCUGGAUCAGUGCUUGCUGCCCAUUGUCCAAUAUUCCCCACUGCUGCCUCCCGUAGUGCCCCCCGUGCCCCCUGCCCCUGCCCUGCCUGCGCGCUGUGCUGGGCUGA